UACGUAGGGUGCGAGCGUUAAUCGGAAUUACUGGGCGUAAAGCGUGCGCAGGCGGUUCGUUGUGUCUGCUGUGAAAGCCCCGGGCUCAACCUGGGAAUGGCGAUGGAUACUGGCUCGCUAGAGUGCGGUAGAGGAGAGUGGAAUUCCCGGUGUAGCAGUGAAAUGCGUAGAGAUCGGGAGGAACAUCAGUUGCGAAGGCGGCUCUCUGGACCAGCACUGACACUGAGGCACGAAAGCGUGGGGAGCAAACAGG
rnacentral:rRNA from 1 species